rnacentral:lncRNA from 1 species
UUUUGUUUUUGUGUAGGAAGGUUAAGAAUAGGCUCAAGUAGCUUAUGCUAGAAAUGUGGGUGGUCAAAAGAACACUCGAGGUCUUUCAGCAAAAGAAAAAACAAAAAGAACACUCAAGGCCUCAUCCAUAAAGGAGCGAAAAAACACUUGACCUAGAUGAGAUAAGAAAGGCAUAAUUGCUAAAUAAUAUGCUUAUUCGAUUAUAGUCCGCCUAUUUGUGA